GGAUGUGAGGGUUCUCUGGCUGGGACAUCUGUCACUCGAUUGAUUGCCAGGGAUGAUGUGAUUGAUCUAGCUAUUGAGGCUGGUGUUCCCUUCCCCCCCCUUACCAGUCCAUGUGCAUCCUUCCCAGAGCUGCGUGCUGUGUUCCUGGACAGAAGGCCUGCUCUCCAGUCAAGGUAACAGGAGUAACCCCCUCAAACCCUUGCCCCACAUCCACCCCUGACUCUGGAGUCUGGAAUU
ensembl:misc_RNA 7SK 7SK RNA